rnacentral:rRNA from 1 species
CGGCACGGGUGCGUAACGCGUGGGAAUCUGCCCUUGGGUACGGAAUAACAGCGAGAAAUUGCUGCUAAUACCGUAUAAUGACUUCGGUCCAAAGAUUUAUCGCCCAGGGAUGAGCCCGCGUAGGAUUAGCUAGUUGGUGAGGUAAAGGCUCACCAAGGCGACGAUCCUUAGCUGGUCUGAGAGGAUGAUCAGCCACACUGGGACUGAGACACGGCCCAG